rnacentral:rRNA from 1 species
CCUACGGGAGGCAGCAGUGAGGAAUAUUGGUCAAUGGGCGCGAGCCUGAACCAGCCAAGUCGCGUGAAGGAUGACGGCCCUAUGGGUUGUAAACUUCUUUUAUAUGGGAAUAAAGUGAGGCACGUGUUCCUUUUUGUAUGUACCAUAUGAAUAAGCAUCGGCUAACUCCGUGCCAGCAGCCGCGGUAAUACGGAGGAUCCGAGCGUUAUCCGGAUUUAUUGGGUUUAAAGGGUGCGUAGGUGGGUAAUUAAGUCAGCGGUGAAAGUUUGUGGCUCAACCAUAAAAUUGCCGUUGAAACUGGUGGACUUGAGUACAUUUGAGGUAGGCGGAAUGCGUGGUGUAGCGGUGAAAUGCAUAGAUAUCACGAAGAACUCCGAUUGCGAAGGCAGCUUACUAAACUACAACUGACAUUGAAGCACGAAAGCGUGGGGAUCAAACAGGAUUAGAUACCCUAGUAGUC